GGGAAUGUGGCUUAGUGGUAGAGUGUGUGCCUAGCAUGCAUGAAGCCCUGGGUUCAAGUCCUUAAUACCA
rnacentral:tRNA from 1 species